AUGGCGCCCGCGGUUCGCAUUUAAUCCCCCACCCUUCCUUUGAUGCCACACGUCAGCAGUUAAACUUGCACCUCUAGCUGAGUCGGGCGAGUGCCGAUGUGGCAGCUGGCCGCGGUCACGUGACCGAGCGUGACCCUUGUGCGCGCGGGCCGAGUAGAGGGCGUUGUUUUGUGCCCGGUGUGCUGAGGGGCGGACGUGUGAGCUGGAGCUGCGCGAACUGCAGAGUGAGCACCGCGGAGUCGGGCUGCUCGUGAGUCCGGGGAUGUUUGGCGGCCGAGCUGUGGCUGUGGGUUCCCCCGUGACGGACCGUGUGGACGGAGCAAUCUUCGUGACGAGAUCGACUUGUUGAGCGCCGGAGACGUGAACAGCCGUAACGGACAGUUUCGGACUGCCUCGAGAGCUGAUGCAGACGAAUAGAGGUCCAGUUGACGGCACAGCGUGUGUGACUACGAGGGCGCUCGGUUUGGCCCACGGCUGAGGCCGUGGCGGCUACAGUUGGCUUCUUUUGUAAGUCUAUCAAAAUGAGUGUGAAUGUGAAACAUUUAUUGUACUACAAUCGAAUUCCAUCACGCAGCGGCUCAGUGAUGGAAUUGUAUCACACAUGUCUCAUAUUACGCUGUCAGUCGGAAAUCUUUCUAUAGGGACGCGGCGAAGGCUUCACGUCUGCAGCUUUGACUGUUUGACUGCGGCCGUCGACGACAGCGACGUCCAUUAUUCACAGCACGAUGAACAGGACUCUGGCUUCGAGCGACGGAUGGCCGUUAGUAUAGCAGCCUGGGGAAGGGGCUGCUCGCUCUAGGCACUGAGUCCCAGGGGCGACAGCCAAGCCGCGGCUUCAUUCGGAUAAAGAGCAGAACUUCAUGUAUGAUGAACGACUCCUGAGUCAUGCGUACUGUCAUAGCUGCUGGACUCUUAUAAAAGUCGCCAAAGACAAAGCCAUCAAACCUUGCACUUGGCCCAACUCACGCUUCACUGAGAGCUCACGACCGCCAUUCUUCAUCCAAGUUCACGGCUCAUAAGCCACACAAAUCUUAGAUCUCGUCCCGAACUCAGGUCACCAACCUCGGACAAAGCAUCAACGCGAUCCAUCCAUAGGAACUCGGAACGAAAUCCGCGAGCGGCAUUCAUGUUUCGUUGUGUUUGAAUUGGACUCUACAUUGCACACAAUUGCGCAUGCAAGUUGUGCAGCGGGGAAUCCCACAGCCGGAGAGAGCUGCAGCUCGGGGGAACGGACGCGUUUCCGUGGGAAAAGACAGCCGGCACCGCCGCCUCCGUCCGGUCAGGUAAUUGGAUAGCAUAUUCGUGUGCUCGGAGCACGCUCGAUCAACAUAGUGCAGAGAGCAGACGGCGGUGGUUUGUCCGCCGUCUGUGACGCCCGCGGGCACAUGCCGUACCGUCUGUCCCACCCACCAUCUCAGGUGCUAUGCAUAUGUUUUGUAAAUGACUCAGUUUGAAGGUUUCGGCAAGGUUGUAAAAUUGUAUGUAUAUACUGUGAUUAGGUUAAUCAUCCCCAUUAAGCACGGAAGAUUCAUCCGAUGUUCGUUCAAAACAUAUUUGUUAAUUUUGUCAUGUGUCUAGCUGCCAAUGCAUGGUUGAUUGAGCUAAUGAGUUAGGGGUAGGAGCUGUGGUGCUUUUAGCCAACAGAUUGACAGUCAUUCGGUUGGAAACAGAUGGAUCCAACUCUGAUUUCCCGCAAGCUCUUGAAUUAGACGGAAAACAUGGAGUGAUAUAUUCCACAAAAACAAAGUUAAUGAAAUAACCGACGUAGCUGUGUUAACACAAAAUUAUACUGAUGUUGAAAUAAGAAAUUUGUUUGAUCUAUAUUUCAUUAUACAAUGAGGGGCAAUGCUUUUCCUGGACAGAUUGCUUGUGCCUUAAAAGCUUAAUAUGCACCAUAUGUCAGACGGCAUUCAAAGGAAACAUUCAUAAAUUUGCUUCAUUCAACAGUACUUAUUUGGUAUCUGUAUCCGUCAACGAAAUUGUAUUCGUUAAAAAUUUUACUGAGCCAUGUUGCGUUGUUGAGGUGCAAAUCUAUAAUAUACUGCUUGAAAGGGAUCUGCCAGAUCAUACCAAACGCUAAAUGAAAACGUAUGAAGGUAUCCUUAAAUAUACGCCCGUCACUGGCACCCUAACGUUUGAAAUCAAAUGACGUUCAAAGGGCUCAGGACAAUGCACCCCUGUUCCACUCACCUGUUCUGGCGAUAAGGAAGAGGCCGAUGACUGCCAGCGUGCGAACAGCCCGCGGCCUGUGUCGACUGUCACAUAGCAUGCCGACUGUAGUUCGUCACCACGAGAUGAACACCUAUUGGGCGACCAGGUUGAACCAGCCGAAACGCUCAGCACGUGUCAGCAUACCCUGUAAAGAUAUAAAAGUGUCAUUUAAUGUCUGUGAUGGAAAACAAUAACAUCUAAAAUUUGCAAAAAAAGAAAAACACCACAAAAUGUGUUCCGGUCUUCAAAACUAUUGCUAAUAUAUGUUUGAGCAUAGAUAA